GACGAACGCUGGCGGCGUGCCUAACACAUGCAAGUCGAACGGAGUAAUUUCUUCGGAGAUUACUUAGUGGCGAACGGGUGAGUAACGCGUGAGAAACCUGCCUUUCAGUGGGGGACAACAGUUGGAAACGACUGCUAAUACCGCAUAAUGUUAUUUGGGGGCAUCCCUGAAUAACCAAAGCUUUAUCUGCUGGGUUGGAAAGUUUUUCGGUCAGGGAUGAGCCCGCGGCCUAUCAGCUUGUUGGUGAGGUAACGGCUCACCAAGGCGACGACGGGUAGCCGGCCUGAGAGGGCGACCGGCCACACUGGGACUGAGACACGGCCCAGACUCCUACGGGAGGCAGCAGUGGGGAAUAUUGCGCAAUGGGCGAAAGCCUGACGCAGCAACGCCGCGUGAGGGAUGACGGCCUUCGGGUUGUAAACCUCUUUCAGCAGGGAAGAAGCGAAAGUGACGGUACCUGCAGAAGAAGCACCGGCUAACUACGUGCCAGCCGCCGCUGUAAUAC
rnacentral:rRNA from 1 species